rnacentral:rRNA from 1 species
CCUACGGGAGGCAGCAGUGAGGAAUAUUGGACAAUGGCCGUAAGGCUGAACCAGCCAAGUAGCGUGAGGGAAGACUGCUCUAUGGUUUGUAAACUUCUUUUAUGCGGGGAUAAAGGUGUCCACGUGUGGAUGUUUGCAGGUACCGCAUGAAUAAGGACCGGCUAAUUCCGUGCCAGCAGCCGCGGUAAUACGGAAGGUCCGGGCGUUAUCCGGAUUUAUUGGGUUUAAGGGGAGCGUAGGCCGGUCUUUAAGCUUGCCGUGAAAGUUUGUGGCUCAACCAUGAGAGUGCGGCGCGAACUGGAGGACUUGAGUGCGCGGAAGGCAGGCGGAAUUCGUGGUGUAGCGGUGAAAUGCUUAGAUAUCACGAAGAACCCCGAUUGCGAAGGCAGCCUGCCGCAGCGUUACUGACGCUGAAGCUCGAAAGCGCGGGUAUCGAACAGGAUUAGAUACCCUUGUAGUC